rnacentral:rRNA from 1 species
CACCGCGGUUAUACGAGAGACCCAAGUCGAUGGCCUUCGGCGUAAAGAGUGGUUAAGACGAGCCCUAAAACUAAAGCCAAAUGACUUCAGAGCUGUUAUACGCGCACGAAAGUACGAAGCCCAACUACGAAAGUGGCUUUAAACCCCUGACCCCACGAAAGCUAUGACA